AUUUGACCAUGGCUAAACACUUUCAAAAACAUGCCAGCUCUGCUUCUGAAAAUUCAUGACUGAAAAAAUUGUUAUACAAAAUCUGAAGCAUUU